rnacentral:rRNA from 1 species
GACGAACGCUGGCGGCGUGCUUAACACAUGCAAGUCGAACGGAAAGGCCCUGCUUUUGUGGGGUGCUUGAGUGGCGAACGGGUGAGUAACACGUGAGUAACCUGCCCUUGACUUUGGGAUAACUUCAGGAAACUGGGGCUAAUACCGGAUAGGAGCUCCUGCUGCAUGGUGGGGGUUGGAAAGUUUCGGCGGUUGGGGAUGGACUCGCGGCUUAUCAGCUUGUUGGUGGGGUAGCGGCUUACCAAGGCUUUGACGGGUAGCCGGCCUGAGAGGGUGACCGGCCACAUUGGGACUGAGAUACGGCCCAGACUCCUACGGGAGGCAGCAGUGGGGAAUAUUGCACAAUGGGCGGAAGCCUGAUGCAGCAACGCCGCGUGCGGGAUGACGGCCUUCGGGUUGUAAACCGCUUUCGCCUGUGACGAAGCGUGAGUGACGGUAAUGGGUAAAGAAGCACCGGCUAACUACGUG